UACAGAGGUCUCAAGCGUUGUUCGGAUUCAUUGGGCGUAAAGGGUGCGUAGGCGGCGCGGUAAGUCGGGUGUGAAAUCUCGGGGCUUAACUCCGAAACUGCAUUCGAUACUGCCGUGCUUGAGGACUGGAGAGGAGACUGGAAUUUACGGUGUAGCGGUGAAAUGCGUAGAUAUCGUAAGGAACACCUAUGGCGAAGGCAGCUCGCUGGGACGUUACUGACGCUGAGACGCGAAAGCGUGGGGAGCAAACAGG
rnacentral:rRNA from 1 species